rnacentral:lncRNA from 1 species
AGCCAUUGUACUUGCAAGAUGAAGCCACCAAGGCCACCCAGUUGGAUCAUUCCUAUGGAAGCAGGCAGGCAUCUACUGAGAAACUUCUGUACAGUGGAAGUCUGUACGGCACUGAUUUGGGCACUUGAGAGUGAUGAGAAGAGGAUGCACACAAGUAUUCUGCAUAUGUGUGAGAGAACAGGAGGUGUGACCUCCCCUUCAUCCCCAUGACAGCAGAUUGGACGCUCAGGGACAGACACCUCACUCACAUCCCCACGGCUCCUCUGAUUGCCUUGUAACUGUUGACAGAUCACCCGUGACACAAGAACUGGUCACUCCCAGUUUCUGGAGAGAUGUAAGCUCUUGACUACUGCUCCAGUGCCAUGCUUGUCUGCUGCCAUGAUCCCUGCUAUGAUGGUCAUGGACUGUAACCCUCUGAAAUGGCUCAACUGCCAGUUGUAAAGGAAGAUGGAGGACUGUACACUCAAGAGCUCACCUUUAGGAACCAGACCAAGAGACCCCUGACCCUGCAGCAACCAGUGAUGUGUGACCCAGAGCCACAGUGUUCUGAGACACCAAGGUUGUGAACAUCCUUCCUGCCCAAGCCCCACUCUAUGCUUACUCUUCAAUAGGUCACUUGAGAGUUCUCCUAGCCCCACUCUGGGCCAAGGAGCAGGCUGGGGUGGAUCCAUGGGGCUACCCAGGAGCUAUACCAGAGAAUUGUAGAAGAGCUGAUUUAAGCCUGGUGUUUCAGUGCUCGGGUCUUGGAGGCACAGACUGUCUGGUAAGGUCCUGUCUCCUAGGAAGAAACUCAGGGAGACCUUCCCGCUCUGUCUGAACAGGAGCAUGAUGUCACCUACAACACUGAGGCCUGGAAUCUGAUGACCAUAGAGAGUUGUGAAGCAAACAAUGUGAGACAGGACCCAGUGCUGCCCCAGAACAGGUCCUGAGGGUAUGGCCAGAAAGGUCACAGAAGUUAAACUCUUCUUAUCUCACUGGUGUUCUGGAGUCUACUGAAGUACCUCUGCAAACAAGAGAAACCCGAUCUUGAAAGGGCCACAGGCGUGUGUGGACAUUAAAGGAAAGUCAGACUUACAUGGUAUGGGUUUUUUGCAUUCAAAGGGGAUAUCAGUCAGAAAGGUUUUAAGGCUGUCUAUGAAAUCCGCAUAGGUGGUAACUUGUGUUUCACAGUCCGUUUCCUGGAGGGAAUGGAAAAAAAUAAACAGCACUUGAGUCCAGGGCUUCUUUGCUGUCUCCCCAGAACCUAGAAACCAUGCCAAGCCCAUAUAGUCAGGCUGCUACAUCCCGGCAAGAGUGCUGCCAAAUCCCUCAUAGUCCCCCCAGGAAGCAUCAGCCUCCAUCGUCCUGGAUGCAGAGCUGCAGACUCAGACCAGUCUUCAGACCUGGCCACUGUGCUUAAAACUACUUUCCUUCUCUGUGCCCGACCUUCAUCUUCAUGAGGGGAUGGAGACCUCUGCAGGUCACUGCAGAGAUGCCUGGAGACACCUAGAGGAGCUUCUUAAAUAUCAACCAAGAGCUAAGUGUAUGAAGAUUUUCUGCUUGGGUUUUCAGUUUGGACUAGUUGGGAGGCCUCCAUUCCAGCCUCAGUUUCCCCAAUGGUCAAAGAAAGAG